rnacentral:rRNA from 1 species
UACGAAGGGGGCUAGCGUUGCUCGGAAUCACUGGGCGUAAAGCGCACGUAGGCGGCUUUCUAAGUCAGGGUGAAAUCCUGGAGCUCAACUCCAGAACUGCCUUUGAUACUGAGGAGCUCGAGUUCGGGAGAGGUGGAGUGGAACUGCGAGUGUAGAGGUGAAAUUCGUAGAUAUUCGCAAGAACACCAGUGGCGAAGGCGGACUCGACUGGCCCGCAGACCUGACGCUG